rnacentral:rRNA from 1 species
GACAGAGGGUGCAAACGUUGUUCGGAAUUACUGGGCGUAAAGCGCGUGUAGGCGGCACUACAAGUCGGAUGUGAAACUCCCCGCGGCUUAACCGUGGAAGUGCACCCGAAACUGUAGAGCUAGAGUCCCGGAGAGGAUGGUGGAAUACUUGGUGUAGAGGUGAAAUUCGUAGAUAUCAAGUGGAACACCGGUGGCGAAAGGCGGCCAUCUGGACGGUGACUGACGCUGAGACGCGAAAGCGUGGGUAG